AUACGGAGGAUGCGAGCGUUAUCCGGAUUUAUUGGGUUUAAAGGGAGCGUAGGUGGGAUAUUAAGUCAGCUGUGAAAGUUUGGGGCUCAACCUUAAAAUUGCAGUUGAUACUGGUUUCCUUGAGUACGGUACAGGUGGGCGGAAUUCGUGGUGUAGCGGUGAAAUGCUUAGAUAUCACGAAGAACUCCGAUCGCGAAAGCAGCUCACCGGGCCGGAACUGACACUGAUGCUCGAAAGUGCGGGUAUCAAACAGGAUUAGAUACCCUGGUAGUCCGCACAGUAAACGAUGAAUACUCGCUGUUUGCGAUACACUGUAAGCGGCCAAGCGAAAGCGUUAAGUAUUCCACCUGGGGAGUACGCCGGCAACGGUGAAACUCAAAUGAAUUGGCGGGG
rnacentral:rRNA from 1 species